rnacentral:sRNA from 1 species
CAGAAAAGUACCACUGUAAGUCAUGAGAUGUCUGGUCUGAAUUGGAAACCCUUUGUAUAUGGCGGCCUUGCCUCUAUCGUGGCUGAGUUUGAAUUGCUCCUGCGUUGCUAAGACAAGCAUCAUAUGGCACCAUUAAAAUUGGGAUUUACCAAAGCUUGAAGCGCUUAUUCGUAGAACGUUUAGAAGAUGAAACUCUUUUAAUUAAUAUGAUCUGUGGGGUAGUGUCAGGAGUGAUAUCUUCCACUAUAGCCAAUCCCACCGAUGUUCUAAAGAUUCGAAUGCAGGCUCAAGGAAGCUUGUUCCAAGGGAGCAUGAUUGGAAGCUUUAUCGAUAUAUACCAACAAGAAGGCACCAGGGGUCUGUGGAGGGGUGUGGUUCCAACUGCUCAGCGUGCUGCCAUCGUUGUGGGAGUAGAGCUACCAGUCUAUGAUAUUACUAAGAAGCAUUUAAUAUUGUCAGGAAUGAUGGGCGAUACAAUUUUAACUCACUUCGUUUCCAGCUUUACAUGUGGUUUGGCUGGGGCUCUGGCCUCCAACCCGGUUGAUGUGGUUCGAACUCGCAUGAUGAACCAGAGGGCAAUCGUGGGACAUGUGGAUCUCUAUAAGGGCACUGUUGAUGGUAUUUUAAAGAUGUGGAAACAUGAGGGCUUUUUUGCACUCUAUAAAGGAUUUUGGCCAAACUGGCUUCGGCUUGGACCCUGGAACAUCAUUUUUUUUAUUACAUACGAGCAGCUAAAGAGGCUUCAAAUCUAAGAACUGAAUUAUAUGUGAGCCCAGCCCUGCCAGCCUUUCUACUCCUUUGCCCUUU